rnacentral:rRNA from 1 species
GGGGCUAGCUAGGCGGCGGGGAUUGGCCGCUGCGGGCGUGGGGCGGCGGGGGUGCGGCGGGCGUGGGGCGGGGUUGACCGCGGCGGCCGGGGCGCGGUGGGCGUAGGGCAGGGUUGUCCGCGGCGGCCGGGGCGCGGUGGACGUGGGGCGGGGUUUGCCGCGGCAGCCGGAGCGCGGCGGGCAUGGAGGGGGUUGGCCGCGGUGAGCUAGGGGCGGGGUUGGCUCGGGCAGCGGCUGCCGACGGAGCGUGGGAGCUACGACCUCCUGUGGUACGCGGAGGCAGCCGGGACGGUGAUGGAGGAGGAGGGCCACUAUGAGGACGUAGCGGUCGCGCGAACCUAGGCCACUGCGGUGGUUGGUGGCCUCGAUCCACUGCGGGGGCGGGGUCGGGGCGAGUGUGGGGCCAGUGGAGACAGCGGCCAUGGGGUGCGCGCUCUGCGACGUCGCGCGUUCGGUAAGUGGAAGUAGCGGGUACAGGCAGGUUCAUGACCAGUGGUACGCGAGGAUCGGCUUGAAGUACCCCACGGGCACCGCCGGAAGUAACGCACGCAGGCGAAGCUAGAAGUAGGGGUCUCUGCCACGGAGUUGGGGCCCACCGAGGAAGGGGUAGUCUAACGAGCCCCUAGGUCGAGCACCUGGGGCAGAGGUAACAGAGUUGACCACUCUUCAGGUUUCUGUCGUCGCGCACGUCCUUAGCGAAGUGGCUGUUAAGUUAGGCCCCGUGUGGCAGCAUCACCAUUGAGUGACGACCCGGUUGUCGUCGGAUCACGUGGCGGACGACGACGCGGUUGUCGGCGGGUACUUGGUCCCGGAGUGGGGGACGUUGUAGAGUGACUGGAUACUAUGUUUCACUACCACAGCGAAAGUAGGUUAACCAAAAAAGUCAGCUGAUUCACAACCAGGUAAUCAGACUAAUCAAGAAUUUGAUAACAUGAAAGAACCUAGAGCUACCAUAACUGGUUCACACGUCAAACAGCCUCAUCUACCAUAAUUCUACACGAGGUACAACACAUGAUGUAGCUUACUAAACAGCAUAUAAGGGACGUAAACGAUAGAGUGGUCGGCCGAUUUUGAUUACGUUUCACUACUCAUGAUACACACGGACACGUCUUGAUACACAAAC